rnacentral:rRNA from 1 species
UACAGAGGGUGCAAGCGUUAAUCGGAAUUACUGGGCGUAAAGCGCACGUAGGCGGCUUUCUAAGUCAGGGGUGAAAUCCUGGAGCUCAACUCCAGAACUGCCUUUGAUACUGGAAAGCUUGAGUUCGGGAGAGGUGAGUGGAACUGCGAGUGUAGAGGUGAAAUUCGUAGAUAUUCGCAAGAGCACCAGUGGCGAAGGCGGCUCACUGGCCCGAUACUGACGCUGAGGUGCAAAAGCGUGGGGAGCAAACAGGAUUAGAUACCCUAGUAGU